rnacentral:rRNA from 3 species
ACCCACCUGAUCCCAUGCCGAACUCAGUAGUGAAACGUAAUAGCGCCGAUGGUAGUGUGGGGUCUCCCCAUGUGAGAGUAGGACAUCGCCAGGC